rnacentral:rRNA from 1 species
UGGGGAAUAUUGGACAAUGGGGGGAACCCUGAUCCAGCCAUGCCGCGUGUGUGAAGAAGGCCUUAUGGUUGUAAAGCACUUUAAGCGAGGAGGAGGGUACUGGUAUUAAUACUACCAGGUACUGGACGUUACUCGCAGAAUAAGCACCGGCUAACUCUGUGCCAGCAGCCGCGGUAAUACAGAGGUUGCGAGCGUUAAUCGGAUUUACUGGGCGUAAAGCGUGCGUAGGCGGCUAAUUGAGUCGGAUGUGAAAUCCCCGAGCUUAACUUGGGAAUUGCAUUCGAUACUGGUUAGCUAGAGUGUGGGAGAGGAUGGUAGAAUUCCAGGUGUAGCGGUGAAAUGCGUAGAGAUCUGGAGGAAUACCGAUGGCGAAGGCAGCCAUCUGGCCUAACACUGACGCUGAGGUACGAAAGCAUGGGGAGCAAACAGG